AAAAAAACAAAUCCUAGAUUUCCGUGUCCAAUUUUAACUGUCCGUCUUAUAUGAAAUUUUUUUAUAAUUUGUAUUUUCAUUGUUGUUAGAUGAUAAAAUAUAAUUAAUAUUUUAUGCUUGACUUGUCUUUUUAUUUUUUUCAUAAUUUUUUUAAAUAAGACGGACGGUCAAACGUUGGACACGGAAACCAAGGUUUGUCUUUUUU
rfam:Oryza sativa (indica cultivar-group) chromosome 6, whole genome shotgun sequence.